rnacentral:lncRNA from 1 species
AAUCCAACAACCAGACCCAUUCCCCAAAAACUUACCCAGCCCACACCUUAUAAUCUUUCUUCUCCUUUACCCACUUGAACAAAACAACAACAGCAUCGAUCUACAACAUACAAACACAGCUCAGCUUAACCUCAGCGACAACAAUUUAUCGGCGGCAAACAACAACAGCCGCAACAAAAGAAACAUAAAAACGCUAAGCCCUUUUCCCCUCCUCCGCCCUUGUCUAUAGGAGCACGCAUCUCUUACAAGAUGGUACAACACCAGAUCAUUUGAGCUUAUCCCUUUUUCAACAUAUGAAAUUCGUACCCCAGUGAAAACCCCUAAGAAGCCCUUCGGAAUGUCUAUCCCACACCUCCCCCAAACAACAAAAAUCCUAUUCCAAAACCCUACUAUAAAUACGCCACUAUUCCACUAGCUAGAAGGGAGACGGAGUUUUAGCUAUCAAAAGGAAUUUAUAAGAUAAAACUCGUUUGAGCUUGAAUUUCAAGGCUAAGCUCUUUCAGUGGCACGAAAAGAAUCCGACGAGCUCGAAGUCCGGAUUUGCUGCUCUGAAAUCGGUCAACACUUCAUACUUUCUCAGUUUUUUGCUUGUGCAUUUGGGUGGUUACUAUAUGAAAUUGCGCCCCAAUGUUGCAAAUGCUUAUUGUUAUUUUUGAAAUAUAUUAAAGACGUUCUCUGUGUAUACUUUGAUCAUUUUUGGGGUUGCAUUUUGGGAUUAAUUAAGAGUCAGAAUUUGAUUGGGUGAGAGGAAUCUUUGAUGCAUAACAUGUGUUUUAAGUUGUCUCUUUGUUUAUUUCAUGAGGUUUCUGUUUCUUCAAAAUAUUCCGUGAUGUUCAUUGUUGUUUAUUAAUUCUGGCUGUAACUUCACAUUUUAGGAUUAACCCGUGUUGUGCUAAAAUGGAUUGUGUUAUGGUUCGAGUAUAUCGCGAUUAAAAUGCUCCCCAAGGAUCUCCGUGAUCCAUAAUAUCAAGCAAGACCCAUCAGGGGAGUGUAAAGUCUUUAGAAACUUACUCCUCAGCUUUCAUCCCAGAGACCUGAGUUAAAAGAUGAGGGAGAGUUUCAUAGUACUCCAUCUUUAUCUCUACAAGCUCACUGCCUUAACAUUCACAAUGAGGGUUGAUAAUUUCUUUUUUGUUAUAUGGCUAUGCAAAUGUUAUUUUUGUGUUGCUGCUUUCUAUGUUUAAUCUACAUAAGCUGGGAUUAAUAAUAAUAAUCUCUUUUUGGCAUAGAACUUGGCAGAUACAUCCAUAUGGGC